GACGAACGCUGGCGGCGUGCCUAAUACAUGCAAGUAGAACGCUGAAGGAGGAGCUUGCUUCUCUGGAUGAGUUGCGAACGGGUGAGUAACGCGUAGGUAACCUGCCUGGUAGCGGGGGAUAACUAUUGGAAACGAUAGCUAAUACCGCAUAAUAGUAGAUGUUGCAUGACAUUUGCUUAAAAGGUGCAAUUGCAUCACUACCAGAUGGACCUGCGUUGUAUUAGCUAGUUGGUGAGGUAACGGCUCACUAAGGCAACGAUACAUAGCCGACCUGAGAGGGUGAUCGGCCACACUGGGACUGAGACACGGCCCAGACUCCUACGGGAGGCAGCAGUAGGGAAUCUUCGGCAAUGGACGGAAGUCUGACCGAGCAACGCCGCGUGAGUGAAGAAGGUUUUCGGAUCGUAAAGCUCUGUUGUAAGAGAAGAACGAGUGUGAGAGUGGAAAGUUCACACUGUGACGGUAUCUUACCAGAAAGGGACGGCUAACUACGUG
rnacentral:rRNA from 1 species